UAACAUUUUUAAUUAGAAAGCCACCAUUGAUAAAUAAGUUUGUCUUACAAUUAUAUGGUUUCAAAAUUCCAAAUCAAAUCUUAUAUGCCACUCUUCGUCUGUACGCAAGUUUUAAAAUUGGGCAGAGUUUCAAAUUUGGUUCUUCAGUCUUCACCAAUUCCAUCAACAUUAGGUCUCAUAUUUAAUUAUUGGAUACAAAUCUAUUAUUUUUCAAUUUUUGGAAAUAAACAGAUGCUGAUGAUAUAAAUCCCGAUGUAUAAGACGUUGUUAAUGCAUGUAAGGUGCUCGAUAAAAUGUUUAAAAGAAAUCAAGAUACAUAGUAUGAGGCAUAGACUAGAAAAUUCCAACUUUCAUUGUUGGUGGAGACUGGAACUGAUAUUACAUCACCGUUCAACUCGAAGUAUGUGUGUAGUGUUCUUUGUUAUUGUAGAAUUUGCUUGGAGUUGGACCACACAACUAGGGGUGAUCGUGGGCCUAAACCUGCCCAGGAGGCGUGCAACCCACAAUUUACAAGAAACAUGACUCCGAGGACCGAACGAAACAUGAGCAGCACGAGGUUGGGGUAUAAUUUUUUGUUUAGUUUCAUAUCUUUACUGUAUUCCAACUGUGUACUUUUUUUAUUUACUGUCCUCAAUACGAGGUUAGGACCCUUCCAGAAGCAGAGGGUAUCGAAUAACAAUGUAAACACAUACAUUCUUAAAUGUAUUUUAUGACUCCACGUAAGAUAUACUCUGUUUA